AAGCAAACUCGUCAGCCUUUCGGUGUUGCAGAAUUGGACUGCGUUGUCCCCCUUUCUUCAGUUCUUCCCUUCCCCCAUCACCUAUAUAUACCAUCUUCCUCCCUCUCUUUCUUUUCCCUCUUACACUCACCUUUCUCACUUUCUCUCUCCUCUCAUCAUUUUUCUUCCCUGUAACCGCAAUUCUGCACUUUUUGCCGCCAAUUUUUGGUUAAAUUAACUAACUUUGAAGUUUGAACCAUUUUUAGCUUCUGGGACUGCAAAAAGGUUUAAACUUUGAUAAUUUUAGCUGGUUUUAAUCCAGUUUAAACUUGUGGGUAUUGCUCAAACUUUAGGGUUCUGUUGUAAUUUGAAGCAAACACCUGCAUUUCAUUUCAUUGGUUAUAAUUGGUGAAUUAGUGGGGGGAUAAUUUCUUGACCCACUGAAGGACUUUGCCAGAAAAUGAUAUUGUCGUAUAAAGGAUGCAUCUUAUGGGAGAUUUUUGCAAUUCUUGAGGCUAAAUUCUGUAUUUGGAAAAGCUUCUAUUUCUGGAUAUUUAAAAUUGUAAACAGGGAGUAUUAUAUAUCAUGGGCACUUAGCUAUAGAUUUUGACACCCACCAACUGUUUGUAGAUUUGCUUCUGUGAGUGACUCUACUUUUUGUGUCUGUUUCUACUUUCUUUCCCCCAUUUUCUAGAGGUAAACUAAACUUGAUAGUUUUAGACCCUUCUUAGAAGCAUAGUGUGUGACAUAAUGGAAGGUUCUACAUUGCCGCCUGGUUUUCGGUUUCAUCCCACAGAUGAAGAGUUGGUUGGUUACUACUUGAAAAGGAAGGUUCAAGGGGAAGAAAUCGAGCUUGAAGUGAUUCCUGUGAUUGAUUUUUAUAAGUUUGAUCCUUGGGAAUUACCAGACAAAUCAUUUCUUCCCAAACGCGAUAUGGAGUGGUUCUUUUUCUAUCCUAGGGACAAGAAAUACCCAAAUGGCUCACGCUCGAAUAGAGCCACCCGGGCUGGCUACUGGAAAGCCACAGGGAAAGACCGGAAAGUGGUGUGUGAAUCCUCUAUGACUGGCUACCGGAAGACCCUUGUUUUCUAUCAAGGCCGUGCUCCUUUAGGAAGUAGAACUGAUUGGGUGAUGCAUGAGUAUCGCCUUUGUGAUGAAAUGUCACCAAAUUCUCAAGGGACAUUUGCCUUGUGCCGUGUUGUUAAAAGGAGCGGCUUUAACGAACAGGUGAAAGGUAAAAGAGUUGGACGUAGUUCAAGCAGUAAAGAGCUCUUGAGCAUCUCCAGUGACAAUCAGGACAACAGCAGCAACUACUCCACCCCUGUUUCUUCUCCUUACAUAACACCAAGGGCAGAUUUUGAAACAACAGCAUCAUUGAGCUCGCAGUCUCCAAGCAUGUGGGUUUCGCCUGAUCUGAUUCUUGAUUCCUCCACUGAAUACUCGCAAGGGAAAAGAAUGGCAACUGAAUACUUCCCACAAUGUGACUUUCAGAAUCCAAUUACUUCAUGGCAGCCUUAUCAACAACAACAAGGUGGUUGCAGGUAACUUGCAGCCCUCAGAAUCAUAAGUUGCAGGCCGUCUGCAGUAGUGGUGCACGAAAAAGACUUACAGGUGUGAACACAAUGUUUACUGUGUAGAAUUUUGAACUUCAUGUCAAAGAUCAAUUCGUUAGUGGACGAGUAAAAAGCGAUGCAGCAACUCGUUGAUGUCAUAAAAGGCGCUGCUGCCAUUGGAUGAUCACUCAGGCAAGUUAUAUCAUAUUCUCUAUUGUUUGAAGUUUCCUCAUUAUUCCAUUUUCCCACCCCUUCUUUUCAAUAAUUCUUCUUUUAGCAAGAAUCUGAUAUAAAAGAAAUUGCAAGUAAUCAACUUUAAUUAAAAGCACUGUAAAAGAGCUACAUCACUAAUCUCUUUUCUUCAAAACCCUGUUUAAGAUUCUUCUAAGUUUGAUACGCCGUCCUCUAAGAACUCUAAUCACCCUACUACUAAAAGUCAUGGAAUAUGUUUGGGAAACCCCCUUUUGCCACAUCCUUCAUGCCAAUUUAUGUUGUCCUUUUCAUGGAUUUUGUUUAAUCUUCUGAGAUUAUAUAAAGAGAAUUCAGGUUUCAGAUUAAUCAGAGUGUCAUCCUAUCAUUUCGGAUGAUGUUAUAUGUACUUAUAACUCUUAAUCAUUUUAGUAAUGUUGUGACCUUUUCUGUUAUUAGUUUAUGCGCGAAAGUAAAGAGCUGCUAACUCCGUUUCAAAUUGAUCUUUACACAUUCCGUUUUAGCGCGUUUCAUAAUGUUCUUUACAUUAUGUUUUAUGCUUCCUCCGUCCCGUAUUGCUUGCACCAUUUUGACUUUUUGCUCUAUUCACAUAAUUUACUUU